rnacentral:rRNA from 1 species
CCCUUAGACGUUCUGGGCCGCACGCGCGCUACACUGACGGAGCCAGCGAGUAUAAACCUUGGCCGAGAGGUCUGGGAAAUCUUGUGAAACUCCGUCGUGCUGGGGAUAGAGCAUUGUAAUUAUUGCUCUUCAACGAGGAAUUCCUAGUAAGCGCAAGUCAUCAGCUUGCGUUGAUUACGUCCCUGCCCUUUGUACACACCGCCCGUCGCUACCACCGAUUGAAUGGCUUAGUGAGGCUUCCGGAUUGGUUUAGAGAGGGGGGCAACUCCAUCUUGGAACCGAGAAGCUAGUCAAACUUGGUCAUUUAGAGGAAGUAAAAGUCGUAACA